rnacentral:rRNA from 1 species
AGAACGAACGCUGGCGGCAGGCUUAACACAUGCAAGUCGAACGCGUGUAGCAAUACACGAGUGGCGCACGGGUGAGUAACGCGUGGGAACGUACCUUAGAGUUCGGAAUAACCUCGGGAAACUGAGGCUAAUACCGGAUAUUCCUUACGGGGGAAAGAUUUAUCGCUCUAAGAUCGGCCCGCGUCAGAUUAGCUAGUUGGUGGGGUAAUGGCCUACCAAGGCUCCGAUCUGUAGCUGGUCUGAGAGGACGACCAGCCACACUGGAACUGAGACACGGUCCAGACUCCUACGGGAGGCAGCAGUGGGGAAUAUGGACAAUGGGCGAAAGCCUGAUCCAGCCAUGCCGCGUGAGUGAUGAAGGCCUUAGGGUUGUAAAGCUCUUUGUCAGGGAAGAUAAUGACGGUACCUGAAGAAUAAGCACCGGCUAACUUCGUGCCAGCAGCCGC